AGUCAUCAACCCGAACCGUUUCGUUGCGGUCGACGGUUGGAUCUGGGGCGUGCUGCCGUGAGGCUGCUCCCCUCAAAUGCGUCGGUUGGCCCUGUGGGUCGGACUCGAACGGGCGUUGUACCAUCCUCGCUCUCCCGAGAAGUUCCCCUUCCGUGUCCUUCCAAGACCUGCCUCUGGAGUGGCGGUCGACUAGCUCUUUGAA
rnacentral:misc_RNA from 1 species